CCAGUCCAAGCACCCGUCCCACUCCGGCGAGGUCAUCCUACCCAUGAGCUCUGCUGUCACCGUCGUUGACUGCUCGGCGACGAACUCAGCCACGUCGCACGCGCCAGCCCGCAACUCCUCCUCCGGCGGUGAACUGCACAGAUCAGCUGAUGUGCGCGGCGGCGGCGUUUGCAAUUCCACCGGGCCCGGGCCGUCGUCGUCGCAAGACGGCCAAGGCGAACCGUAUUGCGGCAGCUGCAGGCCGUCGUCACAGGCAGCGGCGCUCAAGCCGAAGUCGAUGACGAAUGGCGCUGGCGCCUCGACGGCGUCGUCGCGGCAGCAGCAGGUGUGCUCGCCGAAGUAGGUGAUGAGGUAGGCCGCGCAGGGGUCGGUGUCCGACCGCUGCACCUGCCUCCGGGCCUCGCAGCCGCGGUCGUCCUUGUAGGUGCAGCGGAAGUAGAGCCUGGAUGGUUGGUCACGUUUGUGAAUUGUGAUCCAGCAGUAGAGAGUAGACUGAUCGACGAACGACGAUCCAUGAAUAUAAUGCGAGCCGUCUUGGUUGAUUCGGAUGUUGGUUCAGAGUUCAGACAGACAGACCUGGGGUAGUUGCUGCCGUGGAUGUCCUUCUGGCCGUACUUCCUCCAGAUGAAGCCGUCCUCCAUUGUUUCUUUCUUCUCCGCUCGUGUCCCCCGCUCUCCACGGCUCAUCCUGCAGAUUCAGUAGUAGAUGAUUAUACGUUGUAUACUUAAGCUGGUAACUAGCUCAAAAGGAGCUAUGCUGCAUAGUAGUAAUUACCUCAUCCUCUUGGAUCCCGUCGCAGCAGGAGAAGGAGGAGGAGGAGCCAGGCCGCCCUGCCGCUCUGCUGGCUGCUUGCGGCGCUUCCUGGCCGAACUGCUGCAGGCAGCCUCCUCCGUUGCCGCGCCUCUGAGCAAGGCCGCCAGAGCUCGGUCGCAGCAGCGGAGGACCUGCUCGGCCAGAUCCCGGAGACCAUCAUGGGGCGUCGCCGCCGCAGGAAGCUGGCCGAGCAUGGCCUUGAGAACGGCAGCCGACUCCCUCCCCUUGGCCACCAGCUCGGUUGCCGCACAAGCCGGCGGCAUACUUGCCAUCGCCAUCGUCAUCCUUCUCCCUACCCCUGACUUUCUGGCCGUGCUUAUUGAGGAUGCCCUUGCCU
rnacentral:misc_RNA from 1 species